UUAAGUGAAUAAGGGCGCACGGUGGAUGCCUUGGCACUAGGAGCCGAUGAAGGACGGGACUAACACCGAUAUGCUUUGGGGAGCUGUACGUAAGCUAUGAUCCAGAGAUUUCCGAAUGGGGGAACCCAGCAUCUUUAAUAGGAUGUUACGAUUGUGUGAAUACAUAGCACAUUCGAGGUAGACGCAGAGAACUGAAACAUCUAAGUACCUGCAGGAAGAGAAAGAAAAUUCGAUUCCCUGAGUAGCGGCGAGCGAAACGGGAAAAGCCCAAACCAGCAAGCUUGCUUGUUGGGGUUGUAGGACUCCAAUAUGGUAGUUCUUUCAGAUAGUCGAAUGACUUGGAAAAGUCAGUCAAAGAGGGUAAAAACCCCGUAGACGAAAUGUGGAAGACACCUAGGAGGAUCCUGAGUACGGCGGAACACGAGAAAUUCCGUCGGAAUCCGGGAGGACCAUCUCCCAAGGCUAAAUACUCCCUAGUGACCGAUAGUGAACCAGUACCGUGAGGGAAAGGUGAAAAGCACCCCGGAAGGGGAGUGAAAUAGAACCUGAAACCGUGUGCCUACAACAAGUCAAAGCCCGUUAAUGGGUGAUGGCGUGCCUUUUGUAGAAUGAACCGGCGAGUUACGAUUGCAUGCGAGGUUAAGUUGAAGAGACGGAGCCGCAGCGAAAGCGAGUCUGAAUAGGGCGUUUGAGUAUGUAGUCGUAGACCCGAAACCAUGUGAUCUACCCAUGUCCAGGUUGAAGGUGCGGUAAAACGCACUGGAGGACCGAACCCACGUACGUUGAAAAGUGCGGGGAUGAGGUGUGGGUAGCGGAGAAAUUCCAAACGAACUUGGAGAUAGCUGGUUCUCUCCGAAAUAGCUUUAGGGCUAGCCUCGGAAUUGAGAAUGAUGGAGGUAGAGCACUGUUUGGACUAGGGGCCCAUCUCGGGUUACCGAAUUCAGAUAAACUCCGAAUGCCAUUCAUUCAUAUCCGGGAGUCAGACUGUGAGUGAUAAGAUCCAUAGUCGAAAGGGAAACAGCCCAGACCACCAGCUAAGGUCCCAAAAUAUAUGUUAAGUGGAAAAGGAUGUGGGGUUGCACAGACAACUAGGAUGUUGGCUUAGAAGCAGCCACCAUUUAAAGAGUGCGUAAUAGCUCACUAGUCGAGUGACCCUGCGCCGAAAAUGUACCGGGGCUAAACAUAUUACCGAAGCUGUGGAGUACACCUUUAGGUGUAUUGGUAGGAGAGCGUUCUAAGGGCGUUGAAGGCAGAUCGUGAGGACUGCUGGAGCGCUUAGAAGUGAGAAUGCCGGUAUGAGUAGCGAAAGACAGGUGAGAAUCCUGUCCACCGAAUGACUAAGGUUUCCUGGGGAAGGCUCGUCCGCCCAGGGUUAGUCGGGACCUAAGCCGAGGCCGACAGGCGUAGGCGAUGGAUAACAGGUUGAUAUUCCUGUACCCGUUGUUUUUGUUUGAGCAAUGGAGGGACGCAGGAGGCUAAGGAAUGCAGACGAUCGGAAAUGUCUGUCCAAGCAGUAAGUCUGAAGAGGAGUCAAAUGCUUCUUUUCUUAAGGACAAGCUGUGAUGGGGAGGGAAAUAAUAGUACCGAAGUUCCUGAUGUCACACUGCCGAGAAAAGCUUCUAGUGAGAAAACAGCGGCCCGUACCGCAAACCGACACAGGUAGUCGAGGAGAGAAUCCUAAGGUGAGCGAGAGAACUCUCGUUAAGGAACUCGGCAAAAUGACCGCGUAACUUCGGGAGAAGGGGUGCUGAUCAUACGAUCAGCCGCAGUGAAUAGGCCCAAGCGACUGUUUAUCAAAAACACAGGUCUCUGCAAAAUCGUAAGAUGAAGUAUAGGGGCUGACGCCUGCCCGGUGCUGGAAGGUUAAGAGGAGUGCUUAGCGCAAGCGAAGGUACGAAUUGAAGCCCCAGUAAACGGCGGCCGUAACUAUAACGGUCCUAAGGUAGCGAAAUUCCUUGUCGGGUAAGUUCCGACCCGCACGAAAGGCGUAACGAUUUGGGCACUGUCUCAACGAGAGACUCGGUGAAAUUUUAGUACCUGUGAAGAUGCAGGUUACCCGCGACAGGACGGAAAGACCCCAUGGAGCUUUACUGUAGUUUGAUAUUGAGUGUCUGUACCGCAUGUACAGGAUAGGUAGGAGCCGUAGAAAUCGGAACGCUAGUUUCGAUGGAGGCGCUGGUGGGAUACUACCCCUGCGUUAUGGCCACUCUAACCC
rnacentral:rRNA from 1 species